CAGUAGCCACGGUAAUACGUAGGGUGCAAGCGUUAAUCGGAAUUACUGGGCGUAAAGCGUGCGCAGGCGGUUAUAUAAGACAGAUGUGAAAUCCCCGGGCUCAACCUGGGAACUGCAUUUGUGACUGUAUAGCUAGAGUACGGCAGAGGGGGAUGGAAUUCCGCGUGUAGCAGUGAAAUGCGUAGAUAUGCGGAGGAACACCGAUGGCGAAGGCAAUCCCCUGGGCCCGUACUGACGCUCAUGCACGAAAGCGUGGGGAGCAAACAGGAUUAGAUACCCCGGUAGUCCCUGUCUCUUAUAC
rnacentral:rRNA from 1 species